rnacentral:lncRNA from 1 species
CAGGGAAGCAGGGAUGGGCAGGGUCUCCAGGGCACAGAGGAGGGGUGUUGUGCACCUGCCCCCUUCCUGGGCUCCCCUAGUGCAGCUCUUUCUGGGGCCUUCUACCCUCUCCAUUUACCCACUCGCCCCUGCAGAUGGGGGGCGCAUGAUGGCACCUUUUGAUUUAACCAAGUUAUUAUGAGGGAACCUCAGCCCAUCAGGGCUGGUGCCCAGGCACCCUAGGUGAAGCCCUCAGCUCGGCCGCCACCCUGGCCUUGGCAGGAUCCAGGCUCUGAGGUCCUCUUCUGGAGGCUGGGUCCUCUCUCAUUUCACUCCACGUCAUUAUUAAGAGAUGAUGCAGGUCUUGGAGCAAGAACCCUUUGGCUCUGGAAAAAUUAUGUGUGACACUUUACAUAUGGAUCAGGUAAUUAAUGGACGCCCGGAUUUCCUCCGCCAUAACAUAAAGAGCGUGAAGACGGCGCUUUAAUUCCAGAUAAUUAAAGAGCGAUCAGUUCGCGAGUGCUGCUCGGGGAGUGCUGGCUGCUGUCAUUAACACCACCGAGCCCGCUCCAUUCUCCACACCUCACUGCAAACCGCGGGGCCUCCUGCUCCCCGGGGGAUACUGAGCCACAGAGCCCACUGCACUGCUGUGUAAUUGAAGUGGCCACAUCUGCUGCACCGAGCUUAUGGAAUGGGAGUAGGUGUGUGCACACAUGCAUGUGCAUGUGUUGGGUGAGGAGCCGCAGCAUGGCCAGUCUAGAGUGGCCACACACGACCUUAGUGACCUGGCCCUAGGGAAUGUGCAGAGCUCAGGUGGCUGUCACUGCCACCAGGGAAAACACGGGUCUCACUGUACAGAGCAUCCUUAAUGAGGGCAUAGCAUCCCCACUUCAGCCCCAAGAAACUGUUCCUCAUCCUACCAGGUCACAGGAAACUCCCAGGACAUGCAAGGGGCUGUGCCUUCCCCAGAGCUGA